AAAGGAUUAGUUAAUUAUAAUAUUAAUUUGUCAGAUUAAAGUAAUUAUUUAAAAUAAUAUUCUUUU
rnacentral:tRNA from 1 species